rnacentral:rRNA from 1 species
AAUCAACGCUGGCGGCGUGCCUCAGACAUGCAAGUCGAACGAUUAAAGCUCUCUUCGGAGAGUGUAUAGAGUGGCGCACGGGUGAGUAACACGUAAGUAAUCUACCUUUGAGUGGGGAAUAACCCGGGGAAACCCGAGCUAAUACCGCAUAAUGCAGCGGCACCGCAAGGUGACAGUUGUUAAAGGAGCAAUCCGCUUAAAGAGGAGCUUGCGGCAGAUUAGCUAGNGGUAAGGUAAUGGCUUACCAAGGCUUCGAUCUGUAUCCGGCCUGAGAGGGCGGUCGGACACACUGACACUGAAUAACGGGUCAGACUCCUACGGGAGGCAGCAGUCGGGAAUUUGGGCAAUGGGCGAAAGCCUGACCCAGCAACGCCGCGUGAAGGAUGAAGUAUUUCGGUAUGUAAACUUCGAAAGAAUGGGAAGAAUCAAUGACGGUACCAUUUAUAAGGUCCGGCUAACUACGUGCCAGCCGCCGCUGU